UACGGAGGGGGUUAGCGUUAAUCGGAAUUACUGGGCGUAAAGGGUGCGCAGGCGGCCCCGCAUGUCGAGUGUGAAAUCCCCGAGCUUAACUUGGGAAUGGCGCUCGAAACUACGGGGCUGGAGUGUGGCAGAGGGAGGUGGAAUUCCACGUGUAGCGGUGAAAUGCGUAGAGAUGUGGAGGAACACCGAUGGCGAAGGCAGCCCCCUGGGCUAACACUGACGCUCAGGUGCGAAAGCGUGGGGAGCAAACAGG
rnacentral:misc_RNA from 1 species